GUGCUCGCUUCGGCAGCACAUAUACUAAAAUUGGAAUGAUACAGAGAAGAUUAGCAUGGCCCCUGCACAAGGAUGACACACAAAUUCGUGAAGCGUUCCAUAUUUUU
ensembl:snRNA U6 U6 spliceosomal RNA